UAAUACGUAGGGUGCAAGCGUUGCUCGGAAUCAUUGGGCGUAAAGAGCGUGUAGGUGGCUAGAUAAGUCGGAUGUGAAAUCCCUCGGCUCAACCGAGGAAGUGCAUUCGAAACUAUCUAGCUCGAGGAUGGCAGAGGAAGGUGGAAUUCCUAGUGUAGAGGUGAAAUUCGUAGAUAUUAGGAGGAAUACCGGUGGCGAAGGCGGCCUUCUGGACCAUUCCUGACACUGAGACGCGAAAGCGUGGGUAGCAAACAGGAUUAGAUACCCUGGUAGUCCACGCUGUAAACGAUGGGUACUAGAUGUUGUGGGAAUUGACCCCCGCAGUGUCGUAGCUAACGCGUUAAGUACCCCGCCUGGGAAGUACGGCCGCAAGGUUA
rnacentral:rRNA from 1 species